ACGAAGCAAUUUCUCACGAUCCCUUCGGGGUGACGAGUUAUUGACUGAGUGGCGGACGGGUGAGUAACGCGUGGGUAACCUACCUUGUACAGGGGGACAACAGUUGGAAACGACUGCUAAUACCGCAUAAGCGCACAGCAUCGCAUGAUGCAGUGUGAAAAGUUUUUUCGGUACAAGAUGGACCCGCGUCUGAUUAGCUAGUUGGUGAGGUAACGGCCCACCAAGGCGACGAUCAGUAGCCGACCUGAGAGGGUGACCGGCCACAUUGGGACUGAGACACGGCCCAAACUCCUACGGGAGGCAGCAGUGGGGAAUAUUGCACAAUGGGCGCAAGCCUGAUGCAGCGACGCCGCGUGAGCGAAGAAGUAUUUCGGUAUGUAAAGCUCUAUCAGCGGGGAAGAUAAUGACGGUACCUGACUAAGAAGCACCGGCUAAAUACGUGCCAGCAGCCGCGGUAAUACGUAUGGUGCAAGCGUUAUCCGGAUUUACUGGGUGUAAAGGGAGCGUAGGCGGUUUUACAAGUCUGAUGUGAAAGCCCGGGGCUCAACUCCGGUAUUGCAUUGGAAACUGUAGAACUAGAGUGUCGGAGGGGUAAGUGGAAUUCCUAGUGUAGCGGUGAAAUGCGUAGAUAUUAGGAGGAACACCAGUGGCGAAGGCGGCUUACUGGACGAUUACUGACGCUGAGGCUCGAAAGCGUGGGGAGCAAACAGGAUUAGAUACCCUGGUAGUCCACGCCGUAAACGAU
rnacentral:rRNA from 1 species